ACGGGUGAGUAAUAUAUCGGAACGUGCCCUAGAGUGGGGGAUAACUAGUCGAAAGACUAGCUAAUACCGCAUACGAUCUACGGAUGAAAGUGGGGGAUCGCAAGACCUCAUGCUCCUGGAGCGGCCGAUAUCUGAUUAGCUAGUUGGUGGGGUAAAAGCCUACCAAGGCGACGAUCAGUAGCUGGUCUGAGAGGACGACCAGCCACACUGGGACUGAGACACGGCCCAGACUCCUACGGGAGGCAGCAGUGGGGAAUUUUGGACAAUGGGGGCAACCCUGAUCCAGCAAUGCCGCGUGAGUGAAGAAGGCCUUCGGGUUGUAAAGCUCUUUUGUCAGGGAAGAAACGGUAGUAGCGAAUAACUACUACUAAUGACGGUACCUGAAGAAUAAGCACCGGCUAACUACGUGCCAGCAGCCGCGGUAAUACGUAGGGUGCAAGCGUUAAUCGGAAUUACUGGGCGUAAAGCGUGCGCAGGCGGUUGUGUAAGUCAGAUGUGAAAUCCCCGGGCUCAACCUGGGAAUUGCAUUUGAGACUGCACGGCUAGAGUGUGUCAGAGGGGGGUAGAAUUCCACGUGUAGCAGU
rnacentral:rRNA from 1 species